CUCCUACGGGAGGCAGCAGUGGGGAAUAUUGCACAAUGGGCGCAAGCCUGAUGCAGCCAUGCCGCGUGUAUGAAGAAGGCCUUCGGGUUGUAAAGUACUUUCAGCAGUGAGGAAGGUGGGUAUGUUAAUAGCAUACUCAUUUGACGUUAGCUGCAGAAGAAGCACCGGCUAACUCCGUGCCAGCAGCCGCGGUAAUACGGAGGGUGCGAGCGUUAAUCGGAAUUACUGGGCGUAAAGCGCAUGCAGGUGGUUUGUUAAGUCAGAUGUGAAAGCCCGGGGCUCAACCUCGGAAUUGCAUUUGAAACUGGCAAACUAGAGUACUGUAGAGGGGGUAGAAUUUCAGGUGUAGCGGUGAAAUGCGUAGAGAUCUGAAGGAAUACCGGUGGCGAAGGCGGCCCCCUGGACAGAUACUGACACUCAGAUGCGAAAGCGUGGGGAGCAAACAGGAUUAGAUAACCUGGUAG
rnacentral:rRNA from 1 species